CCGCAGCCCGACUUGAGCGGAAAUCCUUUUUUGCCUAUUCUUAUGUUCUAUUUAAACUGAAGUGGUCUGCAAAAAAGAUUAGGAGCGGAAGGAGGAAAUAGC
rnacentral:sRNA from 1 species